rnacentral:rRNA from 1 species
GUGGGGAAUAUUGCACAAUGGGCGAAAGCCUGAUGCAGCGACGCCGCGUGAGGGAUGACGGCCUUCGGGUUGUAAACCUCUUUCAGCAGGGACGAAGCGCAAGUGACGGUACCUGCAGAAGAAGCACCGGCUAACUACGUGCCAGCAGCCGCGGUAAUACGUAGGGUGCAAGCGUUGUCCGGAAUUACUGGGCGUAAAGAGUUCGUAGGCGGUUUGUCGCGUCGUUUGUGAAAACCAGCAGCUCAACUGCUGGCUUGCAGGCGAUACGGGCAGACUUGAGUACUGCAGGGGAGACUGGAAUUCCUGGUGUAGCGGUGAAAUGCGCAGAUAUCAGGAGGAACACCGGUGGCGAAGGCGGGUCUCUGGGCAGUAACUGACGCUGAGGAACGAAAGCGUGGGUAGCGAACAGGAUUAGAUACCCUUGUAGUCC